GUUCAAGUCCAUUAAAGAGAUGUUAGAUGAUUGCAUCACAUUCCUCAAAGAGAGAGGCCUUAUUUCUUCCAUCUAAGAUACAACAUUUCUGCAUAAAAGCUCUGUAAUGAACCUUGGAUGUUUUAUUUUACGUAUCUCAUGGACAGCAAAAGGAAAAGGAACAUAUUGUUGUAUUCACUACCCGGUAAUAAGAAUUAAAUGGGAACACUUCAUCCAAAUUUACCACGAAAUAUAACAUUUGAUUGUGAUCGAGCCUAUGCGUCAAUUACUUAGGCUGAUUUCUAGCUGGAAAAAUCUUUUGAAGAGCCAAGAUUUCACUUUCUCUACUUCUUUUUCUUCUCAGUAUUUUCUCUUUGAUCAGGCAAAGCCUCAUACACAGGCAAUGCCAAUGAAUCCGAAACUUCAAAUGAAAAGCUCUAACACCGCCCAAUUAACUUACUUUUUCACUUAAUUUUUUUUGUUAUAACUCAUUUUGCUGCAACUUUAAUAUAAUUUAUAUCGU